UAGCGAGUCGUACCAUGUGCAUUAUAGGUUGUACCAGUUUUGAGGCUGCUUUUCUUUUACUAGGCUAGGUGAGCGGUGGGCACCUACCUAAACACGUGCCUCAUCCCCAAGACAAACAAUUCUCCGCUCCACCUCACAAACCUCAAUUAAGAGAGAGAUUCCUAAGCGACGGUGACGUUUCAAAGCCGAUGACGAUGAUAGAUCAUGGUUGAUUUCGGGUUCUGACGGGGUGGUUCUAGGCGGCAUGGCGGCGGCGUAGUCGACGCGAUGGGGAAGCUAAUUUUGACAAAGACGGUACACCGGUGGGUUAAAUAGCAGCAAAGAAAGGGUCAUUAACUUGAAGUGUUGCGUCGAUUAUUAUUAAGGAACGUUGUAAUUUGGAUUAUUAAGUCCCUAUCGAACUCGAUUCUCAUCUCGAGGCAGGAUUUUUUUUAAUACGGCUCAGUUGUGUUCCUGCGAAGUUAGGGUUCCGGUGAGUUUUCCGGUAAGUCGUAUUUCACAUGCUGAAGAUUCUGAACCAUGUAGGUGUUGGAACAACAGCUGCUGGUCUUAAAGCUGCGUUGACAAUCUUAACAAGUUUUUCGCACUUCUUUUUUCUUUCUGAAUGUUUGUUUCUAAAUUGUUCUUUAGUUUUCAUUCCAGUUUAGGACCCAACCACAAUUGUACUCUUUGGGGAUCAACCCUUUGGGGGAGAAUGGGUUCAUGCCAAAGGGGUGGGGACCCCGCCUAUAUAGAUCAAUUUACACUUCCCAAGUUAGUCGUAGCAAUUAAAUUGAUGCUAGCUGAUCCCGAGGUGAUGAACCUUCUAUUAUUUCAUAUUUCAACAUUCCAUGAUUAUCUGGUCCCAAAUGCAUCUGCAUAACAAAUAGAUAUCUCAAACUCGUUGGUUGGGUACCAGGUCAAAAUAUGUUAAUAUUGGUUCAUUACAAAACUUAACUGGGCUUGUUCGGGUGUCAAAAUGUUGGUUGUUUGUAAUGUUGAGGUUUGAAAUCAAUUGAGUGAACUGCAGUCAUGUUUAGGCUUGUAGUGGUGAUGGUUUGAUGUUAUUUAGGCUUGUAAUGUUGAUGUGGUUUGAUGAUCUGAUGUGAUGAUCUAUUAUUGUUUACACAGAUGACGACGGCUAUAUAGAUUGAAAAUAAAUGCCACCUUCAACAUAGCAUAUGUCUAAGUGGGAUUGCUACACCGCUAUGUUGCUGCAGUUGUUAGCAAAAUAAGAUUGAGCAAGAGCUUGCAUAAGAAUCAGUUGUCAACGGAAAUCAAGUACUUUAUAAAGAAUGUGUGGUUGCAACUGCAACUUUUAAAAAAUCAAUUUGUUUCCUGGCGUGGCAUAAUCAAAAGACGGCAAUUGUGAGGCUCUCCGCUUGCAACCUGUUUGUAGCCAUGGUGGCCGAAUCGAUAGAUCUGAGCCUAACAAGUUGGUCAGUUAAUGGGUCAAAAAUGUAGGCUUUUUAGGGGUAACUGAAGUUAUUUCUUGGAGUAAUAGGUUCUUUGUCACAAGGUUGAUGUAACAAAACAAUUGGGUUUUAUUAAGUAUCAUGCAGAAUGGAUCCCCGCCGCAUCACGGCGGGUGACAAAUCCUAGUUCAUCCCAUAAAGUAACAUAAUCUUGCCGACUCUUGUAAAAAAAUAAGCAUUA